AACGCAGCAAAGGGCGAUAAGUAAUGUGAAUUGCAGAAUUCAGUGAAUCAUCGAAUCUUUGAACGCACAUUGCGCCCCCUGGUAUUCCGGGAGGCAUGCCUGUUCGAGCGUCAUUUCAACCAUCAAGCUCUGCUUGGUUAUUGGGCCCUGCCGGCAACGGCAGGCCUUAAAAUCAGUGGCGGUGCCUGGAGGCCCUGAGCGUAGUAUUUCUCUCGCUACAGGUGUCGACGGGUCGCUAGCCAGCAACCCCAAUUUUUUUAUGGUUGACCUCGGAUCAGGUAGGGAUACCCGCUGAACUUAA
rnacentral:rRNA from 1 species